CUGUAACUUUUGACCCCUGAAAUUGACCUUUGUCACCAUUCUUGCUGUUUUUACCCCAUAACUCCAUAACAUUCAGUCACAGAUAGUCCAAACUAUACCUUGGCAUCUCUGUGACCAGACAAAUACUUUGAUAUAUUUCAUAAUGUGGUUUG